GUCCUCAAAAAACGAUAGGAUCUAAUUGGCGCCCCUUUACUAUUUCCUUCUCCUUCUUCUUCGAUUUUCUUUUCAAAUCGAACAAAAAGCAUAACUUGAUCUCCGAGAUAGAUCUACACAAUCUUCGAUCCCAAUGGCGACGAGAAGACGUACUUUGCUCAAGGUCAUUGUCCUCGGCGAUAGCGGGGUUGGUAAGACUUCGUUGAUGAAUCAAUAUGUGCAUAAGAAGUUUAGUCUGCAGUAUAAAGCGACUAUUGGUGCUGAUUUCGUCACCAAGGAGCUUCAGAUUGGGGAUAAGCUUGUUACUCUCCAG